GACGAACGCUGGCGGCGUGCCUAAUACAUGCAAGUAGAACGCAGUUACGAACGGUUGAGUACCGCUUAGGUACCUGCCUCAUCGCAGCCGUUAACUAUUGGUAACGCUAGCUAAUACCGCCUACUGUGCUUUGGACCUGCGUUGUAUUAGCUAGUUGGUUAGGUAACUGCUCACCAAGUCGACGAUACAUAGCCGACCUGAGAGGGUGAUCGGCCAAACUGGGACUGGGAGAAGGGCCAGAAGCCGACGGGAGGCAGCAGUAGGGAAACUUCGGCAAUGGACGGAAGUCUGACCGGGCAACGCCGCGUGAGGGAAGAAGGUUUUCGGAUAGGAAAGCUCUGGUGUUAGGGAAGCGGUAACUAACCAGAAAGGGACGGCUAACUACGUGCCAGCAGCCGCGGUAAUAC
rnacentral:rRNA from 1 species